UUAGCUCAGCAGGCAGAGCAACUGACUUGUAAUCAGUAGGUCACCAGUUCGAUUCCGGUA
rnacentral:tRNA from 2 species